CGAGUCCCGUCGUACCGCCCACUUGUGCCCACAUACAUCUGGGCAGCAGGGGGGAGGAGGGGGGUGCAGACAGGCUGCAGCACUGUAGGAGACUUGACUACCUCUUCGAUUUUCAGGUGCCUCACGUCCAUUCCGGGAGGGUAGCAGGUGCACAGACUGGAAAAUAGUGAGUUUUUGAAAAUAUCUCAACAAGUAUCACCUAAGCUUAAAACAUCAAAUGCCAACUUGCAGCUAGAGAAGUGUUACAGGGCCUAAUUCAGCAUGGAUGGUUAUUCUGAGAAAUUGCAGUUGUCUGUGUGCCACCUUGACAGAAAGAAAAAACGCCCCGUGCAAAUUUGCGAUUGCAUAACAGAUCGCUAUCCACUUGCAGAUACGCACAUCCCGGAACAUCGAAGAGUCUUUGCUGUCUGAGCAAAUGUGAAUAGUUCUGAGGCUACCACUAAUCUGCGACUCAGACAGGCUAGAAGUGGUCUGCGCUGACGUCAGAUACCCUCCCUCUUAUGAAACCACCGUAACGUGGGCGGAGAAACGCGUAAAGACUUUACCCAUCGGGAGUUACUUGGAUACACUAUCUGACUGGCAUUAUUUUCCAUCAAGGCAUGCCAGCACUUUUCAGCUACACUCUCGCUGUCGUAACAAAGUGCGUUACAUCGGCGCCUGAUGAGGAUGCGUAUCUAGCAAGGAAGUCCCUCACGAGUUGUUUAAGGACAGCUUUCCAAUAGAACUCUUACAGCUACGGGCACAGGUGGAGCAUAGCGCUGUAUCGAACAUACACGGACAACAGAACCCUCCCUCUGCCCUUGUCACAUGCAGUGCCAGCCUAAAAGGAAUAAUCCAAAAGGUUACCAGUAAAGUUCCUUUAUGAUGGAAACGAGAUUGUACUGUGGACACCUGCCAAGUGGGAAGUAGACCAUCAAGUUGCUGGGCUUAGGUCUGUAGCAGCUGUUGGACGAUAAUGACUUUCAGUAUGCCUUAGUCUAAGCUGGGAUAUAACCCUGUGACUCUGAGUUCACUGAGGCACAUGUAUCUGUCUAUAUCUGUCAGCCUUUGAUGUAAAUCAGACCCAUUCUAGAAGUUCGUGUCUGAUGAAAUGUUGCUACUGCAGAGCUCCUGAAUAUUAAAACCUAUAGCGCUGAACUGUAUUAUACAGUAUAUCAUCAUGUGACCCCCUAAGGGAACCUUCUAUACAGUAUAUCCCUUUCUCUUCUGAUUUAUGUACUUCCAGCACUGUCAAUGCAUGAUUGAUAGAGCUCAGUUCAUGCAGGUGAUUAUACAUUAAAGGUAUACUUUAUAGAUCUUUGCGCUGUGCAGAGCUGUAUAAUGUAAAAGUAUAGAUAUGACAAAAAGAAUACAAUUAAUACAAGCACAAA